rnacentral:tRNA from 1 species
GGGGUCGUAGCUCAGCUGGUAGAGCGCAGCGUUCGCAUCGCUGAGGUCAGGGGUUCGACUCCCCUCGGCUCCA